GAUGAACGCUGGCGGCGUCCCCAAUACAUGCAAGUCGAGCGAACAGACGAGGAGCUUGCUCCUCUGACGUUAGCGGCGGACGGGCGAGUAACACGUGGAUAACCCACCUAUAAGACUGGGAUAACUUCGGGAAACCGGAGCUAAUACCGGAUAAUAUAUUGAACCGCAUGGUUCAAUAGCGAAAGACGGUUUUGCUGUCACUUAUAGAUGGAUCCGCGCCCCAUUAGCUAGUUGGUAAGGUAACGGCUUACCAAGGCGACGAUGCGUAGCCGACCUGAGAGGGUGAUAGGCAGCACUAGAGCUGGGACGCAGUCCAGGCUCCUACGGGGGGGCGCAAUAGGUAACCGGCCGCAGUGGACGGGAGCUUGGCAGAGCAACCCCACGUGAGAGGUAGCAAUCUUGGGAUCGUAAAACUGGGUUAUGAGGGGAGAACAAAUGUGUAGGUUACUAUAGGCGUCUUGACGGUAGCUAAUGAAGAAGCCGCGGCUAACUACGUG
rnacentral:rRNA from 1 species